AAAAAAAAAAAAAAAAGAGUUUUUACUUGAUAGAGACAAAGCAUACAUGAAUAGCUGAAUCAUCUCUGAUCCAUUCAAUCAACAGAUUCAACACAGCUAAGCAAUUUCAUUUGAAAAACAAAAUCCAAAUCAGAUCUCCAACAGUAAACCACAAAAAAGUCUGCAGUUCCACACAAACAAUACCAAUUCAGAGAUUGAACGACAGAGAUCAGAUCUUACCU
rnacentral:misc_RNA from 1 species